rnacentral:rRNA from 1 species
AUAACGGAGAGUUUGAUUCUGGCUCAGAACGAACGCUGGCGGCGUGGAUAAGACAUGCAAGUCGAACGCUCGUUUCAGGGUAGCAAUAUUCUGGGGCGGGAGUGGCGCAAGGGUGCGUAACACGUGGGUCAUUUGCCGCGAAGCUGGGGAUAACUCGUUGAAAGACGAGCUAAUACCCAAUGUGCUCCGCAAGGAGUAAAGCCGGGGACCGCAAGGCCUGGCACUUCGCGAUAAGCCCGCGGCCUAUCAGCUAGUUGGCGGGGUAACGGCCCACCAAGGCUAAGACGGGUAGCUGGUCUGAGAGGACGACCAGCCACACUGGAACUGAGACACGGUCCAGACACCUACGGGUGGCAGCAGUCGAGAAUUUUUCACAAUGGGCGAAAGCCUGAUGGAGCGACGCCGCGUG